CCUACGGGUGGCAGCAGUGGGGAAUAUUGGACAAUGGGGGGAACCCUGAUCCAGCCAUGCCGCGUGUGUGAAGAAGGCCCUCGGGUUGUAAAGCACUUUCAGUGAGGAAGAACGCCUGGUGGUUAAUACCCAUCAGGAAAGACAUCACUCACAGAAGAAGCACCGGCUAACUCCGUGCCAGCAGCCGCGGUAAUACGGAGGGUGCGAGCGUUAAUCGGAAUUACUGGGCGUAAAGCGCGCGUAGGUGGCUUGAUAAGCCGGUUGUGAAAGCCCCGGGCUCAACCUGGGAACGGCAUCCGGAACUGUCAAGCUAGAGUGCAGGAGAGGAAGGUAGAAUUCCCGGUGUAGCGGUGAAAUGCGUAGAGAUCGGGAGGAAUACCAGUGGCGAAGGCGGCCUUCUGGACUGACACUGACACUGAGGUGCGAAAGCGUGGGUAGCAAACAGGAUUACAUACCCCAGUAGUC
rnacentral:rRNA from 1 species